UGGAGACUGUGGAAGAAGAGAAGAAAGGCACUGCUUCACCACUUUUCUAGAGAGCAGCUAGCAGAGCAGCCUGACCAAUGUUGGCAAAGAAUACUUUGGCCACAAAAGAGUGAAGGGGUUUUGGUGCUGGUGAGGAUGAAGAGAAGCAGCCUGGAGAGCUAUGCAUGGAGCUUGGCAAACACCGUUGCAGAAUGACAGGAGAAAUACUAGAGAGAAGAUGUUUUGGAAGAUAUUACACAUCUGGUGGGUACUAAAAUACAUGCAAGACAAAUGCUGAUAUCAUAAAUUUGCUCUUACUUAUGCAUAGCAUUCUCGAUUACAGAAAUAUGGCAAGCAAUGGAAAGGAGUACAGUGGGAGUCCAGCAAGUAUUUAGAAGCAGCUGAGAGGUGGGCAUCAGCCAGAGAUCAUACUCUCAGAAGCCAACUAAUAUGAAAUCAGGUCCCUAUUUAUCUGCAAUACUUCCACAGAAGAAACAUAAUAAGCAGUGAGGAUAAAGCAGCAUCUGAUGUGUCCAGAGUUUAAUCCAUCAUCUCUUAAAAGGAAGUGAUGCAUCCUGAAUGCACCCACCACUUUACCUUAUAUAGCUGAAGCUUUCCUCAUGGGAUUGAAACUAAAAUCUGACUCAAC